GCUGACUACAAGUACAAUGUGAAUUUGUAUGUUGUACCUAAGUGAGCUAUUUUUAAACCUGAAAUAUGAACAUUUAAUUUUGUUAUUAUUAUGCAUUAUGCCUCAAGCGUAUGAUAUAUGUACUUAUAAUUUUGCAACAAGUCCAAAGACAAAGUAUGUAGUUUGAAAAGAUGGAUCUGAUUACAAUGCGACACAUGUUUUGAUGAUAAGAGAAAAACAACGCCAUUUAGUUUGUUUAAAUUCGUCAAAUAAGAUAAGCAAAACUAAAGUAUAAAUACGAAGGAUCCUAUCCUUCUCAAUCAGUUCUUCCAGAGUAAAGCGGGAAAAAAUAUAAAUAAAGAAUAUAAAAUAUUUACUACCUAUAAACCAAUACUUAAAAAUGACUGGCAAGCCAAUUAAUACUGAUGAUCAAUUAUCGGCCGUUCCAAUUCGAAAUGCUAGUGCUCCGAACUCAAGAAGUCCCUCCAUCUCUGAGGCACCUCCAAAUAUGAAAUAUCAACGCAUGACUCGCCGUCGUAGUUCACAAUUAAAAAACCUUGCAAGUGGAUCUACAUCAUUUUGUUACUCCAUGAUGCAUUAGACUUGAGCCAAGUCAAGGAUUUUUUUAAUAAUUUUUCUUUUUAAUUCAUUCUGUUGAGUAUCCAUUAACUUUGUUGCAUGUACAA
rnacentral:lncRNA from 1 species